CUGAAGAGGCAAGAGGUUUAUAAACACCUGCAGAGACCUACUUCCUGUGAUUCCUUGGUUUAAGAUCUGUGGCAAUGAAGAUCUCUGGAGUUUUAGGAGGGCUCCUCAUACUUUUUGCCUCGACUCAUGCUCUUGAAAAUAGUUACAACUAGAGAAAUUGAUGGUGUAAAAUUAUACAUUACAAAAGAAGAAGAGCUGAAAGGUAUAGUACUAAACAACCAUUAACAGACAUUUGAAGAAAUGAAUUCCAAGAAUGAGAGCUCCCAGGUUGCCUAUGGCACAGGUGAAGUGUUGCAGCUACUGCCAGCUGAUGGGCCAUGUUUUGAGAAGAUGCUAAGGGGUUUCCCUGGGCUGCCCCAGCAGAGGGUAAUUGCAGACAGCUGAAUGUGGCCAAAGGUUUAUAAGCACUCAAGGAACCCCCAGCUCCUUGCCAUUUCUUGUUUUCUAUGUUGUGUCUUGGAGUCUGGAGCAAUGAAGACCUCUGUGCUCUUAGGUGGCGUGUCCGGAGUUUGUUCCUUCUGAUGUUCGGAUGUGUUCGGCGUUUUCUUCCUUCUGGUGGGUUCGUGGUCUCGCUGGCUCAGGAGUGAAGCUGCAGAUCUUCGCGACACAGAUGUUCAGUGGACAAAGAAGACACUGUUUAGAUUGCAGCAAUGACUGAGUUGACUACUGAUGGCCUAGAUCACUGUCUGAUUGGUAUUAGGGCCAGCCACGUUAUGUACCGGACUUAAGAUUCUUCAAGUAAUUUAAUGGACAUUGUACCAUAGUCCUGCUGCUAUGAGCAAUAACUGCAAUGUGCUCUGAUGAUUGGUUGUUAGUCAGAAUGAAAAUAAGGCCUUUUGAUAAGAACACAGACAUUAGAAUUGGCGACAUACACCUGAGAGAUAACUGUCCUGUAACAAGACUGUUGUCAUUUAACUACGCGUUUUCUUAUCCUGUCACUUCUUGUGGGAUCAAGAAAAUUAUGUUCCAAACAAAUGAUGACGCCAUAUUAUCAGAGAUCAGUUACAAACCAAGGUUGCAUACUACCUAUGAAUUUCCAGUGGUUUGCUUUGUGAAGAGGCUUAAAUUCCCCUCUGUGAUGCAUUUUGGAAUGAGUGGGUUUGAUGCCCACACCUUGAAAGAAAUCCCUCAAAAAACAAAAGGACAAGAGUCACCAACUCCCACACAAAGUAAAACAUGGACACUUAAUUUUAACAGUGUUAAUAAGGAGCAACUAUCCAAGAAGUCACUGUAUCAAUAAUGCCUGUGUUAUAACACCCUCUCCUCCCUAAAGCAAGGGAACAAGUGAUACAUCUUGUCUGAAAACCAGUUUCAUCAAUACUGUUGAUGUGUCUGUACAAAGAUGAGUAGCAACAUCUGUUACCAGUUUCACUACAUUUUGGAGUUUUGAAUAACAUAUCUAUACCAUGAUAUUUAUACUUUUUAAUGAGUUAAUUUUAAGUGAAAUUGCCAUUCUAACUCUGAAAUCAAGCUCAUACAUAAU
rnacentral:misc_RNA from 1 species